rnacentral:lncRNA from 1 species
UUUAGGCCAACUAAAAUUAAUUAGUAGAUUUUCAUCCAAAUUUUUGAAAAACAUGGGGCGGGUGGGAGGAUUUUAUUUUUUAAAUUUUAUUUCAUAUGAAACCCUUGUCACAAGUUCUUCAUACCGCGGGGUAUAUGCUAGUGGAAAACAAGCUUGUAUAAUGUAUAUACAUGUUGUAUAAGGAAUCCUACACUAUUUUUUAAACUCUUAAAUAAAAAUCCCUGAUUGGCAACCACUGUUAUACAUGUAAUUGCCGCUUUAGAAACCUAUUUAU